CCUGUUUCCUCUCCCCAUUUCCAAACGCAUUCAUACAUUGGGAUGUAGUUCCGUAGCUGUAUCUGCUAGGAUCCACGCUUAUUAAAUAUGAGACUUCACAUGUUCAUUCAAAUUUGGGACAGCAAGAAAUGACAGUGGCAGGGUCCAGAGCACAAGGACAAAUAUAAAGACAUCAAGCAGAUGGGCAUCCCACAGCAGCAGAGCCUAGUCAGAUAAAGAGGAGCUUUGUGAGACCUGCGUCACUCAAGGAAGCAGACAGAAGGGAACCUUGUUUGUGUCUUAUGUGAAAGGUCAAGGGUCAUCACAGGCCAAAAGGACAGGGAGCCCUAAGAAAAAAAAAAGGUUCCACAGGCUGUGCCACAGAAAGCAGGAGGCCCCUUCUUUCCCCUUGCUUUAACUGGAGCUGAAGAACCAAGGGACCCUCAACAUCCUUCUUUGUUUCUCUCAGAAAAAAAGAAGGAAAUAGAAAAAAAUGGAAAUGGAAGCAGCAUGUGGAAAAAACCAACAGAAUUUUCUGAUGACUAGUGAGAGGUAUACAGGAAGAAGAGGAUUAAAAUAAAGGAAGGGGUAAUGUAGAAAUUAAGCAAAGAGUCAAAAUCCUAUAUAGAUUGUUAAAAAAAUCAGCAUUGAAACUUACUCAUACUUAUUCAUGGAACAAAAAUAAUAUCAUUACCACAACAAUACUUACCAUGUUAACACAACAAGAAUGCUUAAAAACUCAUAAUUUCUGAUCUAUUGUUUAAAAACAAUUUAUCCAUACUUGUGGGAUGACAGUUUAAAAUAAAUGGGACUAAUUUAUUUUUUAACUAAGUUUCCUACAGCAAAGGAUAUAAAAAGGCCUUUCCAACAGAAAUCAACAAUUUCGGUUUAACAUUUAUCAUCAACUUGAGCCAUCCAUGUUCUGCUCUCUCUCUAUCCAUAUGUGUCAAGUUAAACAUAUGCACUUAGAGUGUUCCUUGUUACAUACAUCUGCUGGGCAUAUGAACAGGCCUGGGUCCACAACAACCAUGGCUGUUUGCCAUACAGUCAAUCUUAAACUCAGAUCAAGGACAAGUGCUCCCUUGUAUAUCAUAAUGUCUCAAAAACAACUUAACUAACCAUAAAAAUCUACUGUUCGGAAAACUGCAAUCAGUGUUGGGGGUAAUGCAUUACAAGUAACUUUAGUUAUGUAAUCAGAUUACUUUUUUAAGUAACUAGUAAAGCAACAUGUUUCUUAUAAAUUUACAACAAAAUAUCUGAGUUACUUUUUCAAAUAAGUAACACAAGUUACUUUGUUUUCCCAUUUAUUGACUGACGGCUCUCGUCCCCAUGUUGAGAGAAAUCGGGAGUAAUUGCAGAGGUGUUGUGAGCACUAUGUAAACAUGAAACCAUCAUGUUUGUAGUUCUAGGCUAAAUGUAAGCAGGCAUCUACUCAUCUCACUUGCACAAAAACAGAUUCAGUAUUCACUAAAAUGAAUAAUGGUGAAAUGCAAACUCAGAAUAUUACGUAAACCUGCAAUAAUUAAAUAUGUUAAAUUGCACAAAUAUACUUUAUGUAUUUAAUCUCACUUUAUUAACCAAUGUCUUUGCUGCUGAUCUUCGAUGAUCCAAUUCAACCAUAAUAUUAAGCAAAAAUGACUUUAGAUUAAGAUCACGUUUGCUUCAUUUUUUUGUUUUUAUUGCUGAGGAGUGUUGAAUUUUCUUCUCCUGUGUCCUAUUGUUCUGCAGUCCACAAUAGCAGCACAGCUAAAAGGUUUGUUUGAGCUGCACCCUCUACUCUACAGACAUGAAUUUGCAUUUCCUACAGCCUGAGCCUUAUUCAUUUCACUUCUGGUGUGAAAGGGCCUUUUUCAUUUGCCAAAGUACAACUUUUUUGUUAUUAAAAAACAAACAAGAAAACCUAGCCCAGAUGAGUU